rnacentral:lncRNA from 1 species
CAUUGCAACAUGAUUCCACAUCUAUGAAUAAAAAUUUGGGCUAGCAAACAUGUCAACAAGGUGUAAAGGAUCCAUAUUAAGAUACUAAGCUAAAAUGAUACCAAAUGAACAACAUGCCAUACCCAAUACGAAGACUAAGCUAAAGCAUUGCACAAUGUUCAUGUGGAUCACUCACCAAGAUAUAUUACAAAGCUAGCAUGGCAAGAUGUACAUGAGAUCACACAUGCUAACAUGAAAAGGUGGC